CCUAACGGGUGGCUGCAGUGGGGAAUAUUGGACAAUGGGGGGAACCCUGAUCCAGCCAUGCCGCGUGUGUGAAGAAGGCCCUCGGGUUGUAAAGCACUUUCAGUGAGGAAGAACGCCUGGUGGUUAAUACCCAUCAGGAAAGACAUCACUCACAGAAGAAGCACCGGCUAACUCCGUGCCAGCAGCCGCGGUAAUACGGAGGGUGCGAGCGUUAAUCGGAAUUACUGGGCGUAAAGCGCGCGUAGGUGGCUUGAUAAGCCGGUUGUGAAAGCCCCGGGCUCAACCUGGGAACGGCAUCCGGAACUGUCAAGCUAGAGUGCAGGAGAGGAAGGUAGAAUUCCCGGUGUAGCGGUGAAAUGCGUAGAGAUCGGGAGGAAUACCAGUGGCGAAGGCGGCCUUCUGGACUGACACUGACACUGAGGUGCGAAAGCGUGGGUAGCAAACAGGAUUAGAUACCCGAGUAGUC
rnacentral:rRNA from 1 species